GACGAACGCUGGCGGCGUGCUUAACACAUGCAAGUCGAACGGAAAGGCCCUGCUUUUGUGGGGUGCUCGAGUGGCGAACGGGUGAGUAACACGUGAGUAACCUGCCCUUGACUUUGGGAUAACUUCAGGAAACUGGGGCUAAUACCGGAUAGGAGCUCCUGCUGCAUGGUGGGGGUUGGAAAGUUUCGGCGGUCGGGGAUGGACUCGCGGCUUAUCAGCUUGUUGGUGGGGUAGUGGCUUACCAAGGCUUUGACGGGUAGCCGGCCUGAGAGGGUGACCGGCCACAUUGGGACUGAGAGACGGCCCAGACUCCUACGGGAGGCAGCAGUGGGGAAUAUUGCACAAUGGGCGGAAGCCUGAUGCAGCAACGCCGCGUGCGUGAUGACGGCCUUCGGGUUGUAAACCGCUUUCGCCUGUGACGAAGCGUGAGUGACGGUAAUGGGUAAAGAAGCACCGGCUAACUACGUG
rnacentral:rRNA from 1 species